GCUUAAUCUUCAUCAAGAGAGACUUAGGUUAGAUCACAGGAAAAAACUUUCCAACUCUAACGGUAGUUAAGCUCUGGAAUAGGUUGCAAGGAGGUUGUGGAAUCUCCAU